UUCUGGAAUAGUAAUUUUUGAUUGAAUGUAAUUUUUUUGCUUCUAGGACCAACCAGCAGAAAGAUAUAUAACUCGGUUAAUGGCUGAUUAUGCUUGUUGUGAGUACAGGAUCUUUCUGUAUCUUUACCAGAUCUAUUCAAGCAUCAUUGCUUCUACUCUGAAAAUGUUUGGAAUCCUCAAUUGUUAGUGAUACAAUACUUUAAGCAGGGCACAUACGAAUCAAUUGUCAUUGGAGAUGAAGCUAUCCAUCAUCUUAGGUUUAGCCAUCUAGAGAAGGCGUUUCUGCAACAAAGCUGAUGGGAAAGUGGAUCUCUCUGUAGGGAACAGACUUUUGAGACUGAUCAAGAACAUGACUAUAUCUGUGGAACAUGCCAGAAAGGAGCAGG